AUUCGCUAGUAAUCGCGCAUCAGCCAUGGCGCGGUGAAUACGUUCCCGGGCCUUGUACACACCGCCCGUCAAGCCAUGGGAGCCGGGGGCGCCUGAAGUCCGGGACCGCGAGGACCGGCCUAGGGCGAAACUGGUGACUGGGGCUAAGUCGUAACAAGGUACC
rnacentral:rRNA from 1 species